GUCCUUCUAGUUUAAUGGUAAAACCAUUGCCUUCUAAGCAAUUUAUCGUGGUUCGACUCCACGGGAGGAUA
rnacentral:tRNA from 2 species